AUGGCCGCCUCGUGCGGGUGCGACGACAACAUCCUCGUUCACAGAUCCUUCUUCUGCAGCGAUCGAUCAGACUACGGCCAGCCGGGGAGCUAUGCGGGCGAUGUGAGAGGGAUUGACCUGAUCGGAGGACACGGUGGCCGGAGAAGAGAUGGUGACUUGAUCGGUGGGGGUGGGGGAGGAGGCCGGCGAGAGGGCAGUGGAGGGAGUGGCGGGGUUCUUAUAUGGAUCGGCGGGGUGGGAGCUAAUUACGCGGUGUGCAUGUGCAUUCUAGUGGCUCGUGGUUACUACGGCGUGGUCGGUGUGGGAGUCUGGGAGAGCCGUAUGAAGCUAGGGAUCGAUCGACGGAGGCCUGCCAGCGCGCGCACGGGCGUGGUGGGAGCGGCCGCUCCGUAG
rnacentral:rRNA from 1 species